AUUGAACGCUGGCGGCAGGCUUAACACAUGCAAGUCGAACGGUAACAGGAAGAAAGCUUGCUUUCUUUGCUGACGAGUGGCGGACGGGUGAGUAAUGCUUGGGAAUCUGGCUUAUGGAGGGGGAUAACUACGGGAAACUGUAGCUAAUACCGCGUAGUAUCGGAAGAUGAAAGUGUGGGACCGCAAGGCCACAUGCCAUAAGAUGAGCCCAAGUGGGAUUAGGUAGUUGGUUAGGUAAAGGCUGACCAAGCCGACGAUCUCUAGCUGGUCUGAGAGGAUGACCAGCCACACUGGAACUGAGACACGGUCCAGACUCCUACGGGAGGCAGCAGUGGGGAAUAUUGCACAAUGGGGGGAACCCUGAUGCAGCCAUGCCGCGUGAAUGAAGAAGGCCUUCGGGUUGUAAAGUUCUUUCGGUGAUGAGGAAGGUGUUUGUUUUAAUAGGACAAGCAAUUGACGUUAGUCACAGAAGAAGCACCGGCUAACUCCGUGCCAGCAGCCGCGGUAAUACGGAGGGUGCGAGCGUUAAUCGGAAUAACUGGGCGUAAAGGGCACGCAGGCGGUGACUUAAGUGAGAUGUGAAAGCCCCGGGCUUAACCUGGGAAUUGCAUUUCAUACUGGGUCGCUAGAGUACUUUAGGGAGGGG
rnacentral:rRNA from 1 species